ensembl:lncRNA
UUAUUAAAUUGUUAGUAAUAAGUUAUAUAGCCAUCAAUAAAGCAAAUAGCUAUUGUGGCUUCUUUUAAAGCGUCAUAUACUUUCCUCUGUACCAGUAUGUUCUAUAAGGUCUCAAGUAAUACAAUGCAAAAAGUAUAGUGUGUAUAAAGGUAUUGUUUAAGUCACUUAAUGAUAACGUUCUUAUAAAUAUUAGAAGAGGACUCGCUGGAAAUGAAGGAACUUGGCAAAAGGCUUUGGGCUUUGUUUCUGCAUACAGGGUAACAGGAAGUGGAGCGCAGGGGUGAUGGAACCUCCAAGGGGAGACAGCCACCGAUGUACACACUCUGAACCCAACCACGACCUGGGUCAAGGCCAUGAAAUUUACAAAUGGGGCCCAUAGGACACAGAGGAGGACAAUAACCCCAGAGGACAGCUGGAGGCUUAAAAGAAACUGGCAGGUUUUGAUUUGCUCGAUGCUGCGUCGCAUUCAGUAUGCAGCGCUUAAGGCGAAACCGGUAAAGCAGGCACUGAAGACCCCCCCACCACCACCACCCCUCCAUGUAGACAGAUGAGUACAAGUCAAGGCUGAGCAAGUAGGCAGGGUAUGCUCUCGCUUCUGGCCACUGGGAGGCAGAAGUGUGUUUUCUUUGGCAUUUAUUUGGAGGACAGGAGCUGGAAAACUGGCUCUAGCUAGUUCCCCUCUACAUCUGGAUGGUGCCUGAGUGUAUCUCUGCUUAAAUAAAUAUCUUGAAAGAUGUAUAUUUUAAAAAUGUCCACUUUUUACUGUGGUGUCAGACACGCUGGUCUGAUUUAUUACUGUAAAUUUAAAUAAAUGUUUAAUUAGCUACGGCUGCAAUCCACUAUGGAUCUCUUAUGGUGCAUGUUUCAUGACUAUCAGGGCCACCUUUCAUGUUACCCUUCCUUUAAAUAAAAAAAACUGAUACACUACACCAGGAGUAAAACUGUAUUAUUGUAGAGUCUUUGCCUUAUAAUAUAAAGCGGCUUGAGGCGACUGUUGUUGUGAUUUGGUGCUCUAAUCAAUAGUUAAAAUUGACUCUAAGUAAAAGCUAUACAUAUAUAUAUAUAUAUAUAUAUAUAAUUCUGAUAUCACCCCUAUUAUUAAAAAUAAAUAAAUAAAUAAAACCAGCCUUUUAUCGAUGACCAGUCCUGUUGUAUGCAGGCCUGUUCGUCUUCUAGAGUUGCAUCCUUAAUCCAUCUUCACUGAGUCAAUCACAGAGCAGUCAUGAGCUCCGUUCGCCGGCUGUGCAGUCGGCUCGAAAGGUCACUGCUUUCCUGCUCCUCAUGAAUAUCUCAUGAUAUGUGUGAUGAUGGAUUUGUUUGUAAUAUUGAGCCUGUCUUGUGUGAUCAUAUAUUUAUAAUCUCAUAGGUCAUAUUAAAAAUAAAUUUCAUCAAACUGGGACAUAAAAGAAGAAGCUUCAAUUGUUUUCUUCCCUCUGGGUUUCUCUUCAGUUUUUCAUUUUUAUUUUUAUUUUGAAUCACCUUGUUGUUGAAUUGUGCUAUAUAAAUAAACUUGCCUUGCCUUGCCUUAUUUGCUUCAUUUAAAUAUUUUGGGAUGUGAACUUCCGCCAAAGACAAGUGGAAAAAAGUGUGACGUAAAUCGCCC